rnacentral:rRNA from 1 species
GACGCUGAUGCGUUGUUGGGUAGGGGAGCGUUCUGUAAGCCUGCGAAGGUGUGCUGUGAGGCAUGCUGGAGGUAUCAGAAGUGCGAAUGCUGACAUAAGUAACGAUAAAGCGGGUGAAAAGCCCGCUCGCCGGAAGACCAAGGGUUCCUGUCCAACGUUAAUCGGGGCAGGGUGAGUCGACCCCUAAGGCGAGGCCGAAAGGCGUAGUCGAUGGGAAACAGGUUAAUAUUCCUGUACUUGGUGUUACUGCGAAGGGGGGACGGAGAAGGCUAUGUUGGCCGGGCGACGGUUGUCCCGGUUUAAGCGUGUAGGCUGGUUUUCCAGGCAAAUCCGGAAAAUCAAGGCUGAGGCGUGAUGACGAGGCACUACGGUGCUGAAGCAACAAAUGCCCUGCUUCCAGGAAAAGCCUCUAAGCAUCAGGUAACAUCAAAUCGUACCCCAAACCGACACAGGUGGUCAGGUAGAGAAUACCAAGGCGCUUGAGAGAACUCGGGUGAAGGAACUAGGCAAAAUGGUGCCGUAACUUCGGGAGAAGGCACGCUGAUAUGUAGGUGAAGCGACUUGCUCGUGGAGCUGAAAUCAGUCGAAGAUACCAGCUGGCUGCAACUGUUUAUUAAAAACACAGCACUGUGCAAACACGAAAGUGGACGUAUACGGUGUGACGCCUGCCCGGUGCCGGAAGGUUAAUUGAUGGGGUCAGCGCAAGCGAAGCUCUUGAUCGAAGCCCCGGUAAACGGCGGCCGUAACUAUAACGGUCCUAAGGUAGCGAAAUUCCUUGUCGGGUAAGUUCCGACCUGCACGAAUGGCGUAAUGAUGGCCAGGCUGUCUCCACCCGAGACUCAGUGAAAUUGAACUCGCUGUGAAGAUGCAGUGUACCCGCGGCAAGACGGAAAGACCCCGUGAACCUUUACUAUAGCUUGACACUGAACAUUGAGCCUUGAUGUGUAGGAUAGGUGGGAGGCUUUGAAGUGUGGACGCCAGUCUGCAUGGAGCCGGCCUUGAAAUACCACCCUUUAAUGUUUGAUGUUCUAACGUGGACCCGUGAUCCGGGUUGCGGACAGUGUCUGGUGGGUAGUUUGACUGGGGCGGUCUCCUCCUAAAGAGUAACGGAGGAGCACGAAGGUUGGCUAAUCCUGGUCGGACAUCAGGAGGUUAGUGCAAUGGCAUAAGCCAGCUUGACUGCGAGCGUGACGGCGCGAGCAGGUGCGAAAGCAGGUCAUAGUGAUCCGGUGGUUCUGAAUGGAAGGGCCAUCGCUCAACGGAUAAAAGGUACUCCGGGGAUAACAGGCUGAUACCGCCCAAGAGUUCAUAUCGACGGCGGUGUUUGGCACCUCGAUGUCGGCUCAUCACAUCCUGGGGCUGAAGUAGGUCCCAAGGGUAUGGCUGUUCGCCAUUUAAAGUGGUACGCGAGCUGGGUUUAGAACGUCGUGAGACAGUUCGGUCCCUAUCUGCCGUGGGCGCUGGAGAACUGAGGGGGGCUGCUCCUAGUACGAGAGGACCGGAGUGGACGCAUCACUGGUGUUCGGGUUGUCAUGCCAAUGGCACUGCCCGGUAGCUAAAUGCGGAAGAGAUAAGUGCUGAAAGCAUCUAAGCACGAAACUUGCCCCGAGAUGAGUUCUCCCUGACUCCUUGAGAGUCCUGAAGGAACGUUGAAGACGACGACGUUGAUAGGCCGGGUGUGUAAGCGCAGCGAUGCGUUGAGCUAACCGGUACUAAUGAACCGUGAGG